GGUGAGAGUAGCUCCAACGACACAUCGGAUGGCGAAAAUUCCAGCUACCACUCCCUGUGUCAUGAAAGCUCGCCCACUUGAGUUUAUAGCAUCUAGCAGUUUCCGGUUCAGUUCUCCGCCGUCUACCCCAUGUUUUGGCUGAAGCCUGAAGAAAACCAACACUAUCCUCCUUGGAACCACAAUCUCGAACCUCUCAUCUUUAGCUACAAGUGCCUCGAAUUGCUUAGCUAGCUCCACAUCUGAUCGAAUGUGGCGCAUGAGGUUUUCCAAGCCAUGCCGGCGGAUCACUAACCAAAGCUUCAGUGCUCGAAACCGUCUGCUCAGUGUGACUUGCCAAUCUUUGUAGUCCACCACAACGUUGGAUUUAGUUGCGUUGUUUUCCAGAUAUUCUGGAUUAGAUGACAAUGAAUCGAUUAAGAAGCGCGGUUCCUUGAGCC
rnacentral:lncRNA from 1 species